rnacentral:rRNA from 1 species
ACGAACGCUGGCGGCGUGCUUAACACAUGCAAGUCGAACGGAAAGGCCCUGCUUUUGUGGGGUGCUCGAGUGGCGAACGGGUGAGUAACACGUGAGUAACCUGCCCUUGGCUUUGGGAUAACUUCAGGAAACUGGGGCUAAUACCGGAUAGGAGCUCCUGCUGCAUGGUGGGGGUUGGAAAGUUUCGGCGGUUGGGGAUGGACUCGCGGCUUAUCAGCUUGUUGGUGGGGUAGUGGCUUACCAAGGCUUUGACGGGUAGCCGGCCUGAGAGGGUGACCGGCCACAUUGGGACUGAGAUACGGCCCAGACUCCUACGGGAGGCAACAGUGGGGAAUAUUGCACAAUGGGCGGAAGCCUGAUGCAGCAACGCCGCGUGCGGGAUGACGGCCUUCGGGUUGUAAACCGCUUUCGCCUGUGACGAAGCGUGAGUGACGGUAAUGGGUAAAGAAGCACCGGCUAACUACGU